rnacentral:tmRNA from 1 species
GGGGCUGCACUGGUUUUGACAGCAAGCCGAGUGGAUUUGUAAGCAUGCCGGGCAAUGCAGACACGCCCGUUAACAAUUUCUGCGAACCAAUAACUGGCGAAAAUAACUUCGCUCUCGCUGCCUAAUCGAAGUUAGUAGAUUAAGCUUAAUCCCGGACAAGGUCCGGGAGCGGGACGUCCUGCCGGUGGAGAUGCCUGAUUCCGGCCGGAGCACAGGGCGCUCGCAAUUUCGGGCUGGCUGUGGCAGAGCCUUGAUGCCGCGGCGAGAUUUCAGAGGAUAAGGCAGGAGUUUGGGUGCCGGUUCCCGGAUCCUGUUCGAAAACCAACGACCGGAUAAGCAUGUAGAAAGCACAUCUGUUCCUUGUUUGGACGAGGGUUCGACUCCCUCCAGCUCCACCU